rnacentral:lncRNA from 1 species
GAAAAAAACAAAUGUGUAUCUACUUCGUAACAUACGACAUACUCAACAUACAAAAUAAGAAGACAAUGGAACUCAGCAUACAAAAUAAGAAGACAAUGGAACAUAAAGAAUAGUCUUGAUCUAGUCCUCAUCAAUCUUAGCCACUUGAUUGACAACACGAUUACAGAUGCUCGUGAGGCACUAGAUCUACAUGUCUUAGGAUCUCUGUGAAGUUUCAGGUCGAUCACAACUCACAAGACUGGUCUAACAUGUGCACUAGGCCGAACAGUCCUAGUAAAUCUAACUUAACUCCACAAGAUGGAACAUGGACAUAUUUCACAGGUAGUAAACAUCCUUACCAAAUAUCAACCUGAUCAGAUCACUACUAAAUCUUCAAAUCGAUUUCUCCUCUCAUUUGUUGCUGAUUCGCACUGCACAGAUUACGCAUAACUUUCAUCUCACAACUCUGAAUCACAAUCCGCUUUCAUAGUUGGAUAUAUUAGAGUCAGGAAUGUACUCACCAUGUUUCAGAUUGUUUGGAUCUGGUUCAGUGGUUUGCGUGUUCGUUCCAUAUUUCUACAAGAAUGAGUCUGAUCUGUCUUCUUUUUGCU